rnacentral:lncRNA from 1 species
GGUACCUCUCUGUCUUUGCUUUUUGUAGGAGUGGGUAAUCAUUCACAGGUUGCAACUGGAAGGUUAAAAACUUGAACUGUCUUGGGCUUGAAUCUGCAGAUUGUAUGUGUGGCACAUUUAUUUGUAUGCAACCAUGAAGUCAAAUGUUUGCUCUAGAUUAUCAUUAAAAGACGAAUAUAGAACUUAAUUGUUCAUACCUUCCAAACUGGCUUACCAACUAUGGGGAUCUGCUCUUCUCCUACUUUUCCUUCUGCAAAAUUUUCUUUCAACUAAUCAACACAGUAUGCGCCAUAUCAUUACAUGUGGAAUUCUCAGGUAUACUGGUGGAUGGUGGUACACAUGGUUGGGUUCAAGUCCCAUAGAAGCCAAUAACACGGUAUCUGUGUUCCAUAACUGCUUAUUGAUCCCAAAACAAAGCUCUAGAAAAGAAAAGGUCUGUUUGGAUGUAGUACUACUUGCUAUUGUUAGGAUUUUGCUCCCCACUCAAUUGAUGACUUAUAUGUAGGAAGAUCUCUAAUAUAGGAAGUUGGAUUGGGACCAAAAUAUUUGGAUCCCUGAUUAAAUGCGCACAUCAUUAACUCAGAUGAACCAUAUGAUUUUGAUAGAAGAGCACUCUAGACGAAUCAAUAAUGUACAGCCCUCGAAAUACUUGCUUUUGUCUUCUGAUAUAAGUAGAGCAACUCCCACCUUUUAGACUAAUCCUCAAAAAGUAGAGGUGGCAUAGGUUCUAUCAUUUAUACUCACAUUAAUGACAUUAUUAAAGAGAGUUUAACAUAACUAUGCUUCGACUUGAAUUCUCUCUUGAAGGUUUGAGUGUUAAGUUCUUUAUCUUGAUACCCAGGAGCAACUCUUAACUUCUUAUGAAAAUAAAGUUUAAAAACUUUACUUAUACAAACUUGGCAUAUUGGGUUCUCCUAGUUAAGGUACAACUGUAAAAGCAGCUCUUUCAACUGCUAAAUUUGUUGAAAUACUUCUUUCAUUACCUCGUGGUUUCGAUUCACUUAACCCAAUUAAAAAGGUUAAAAUUUAAGGAAUAUAUAUAUAUAGAGCUUCCUGCUCAGUUUAGCUCACUUUUAAGUAACCUAACUUGUUACCAUUGCUUGUAAAAAAAUAAUCAGGAGCAAGUUAGUAACCCAGAAUCAAGCCCCCCAUCCCAAGCUGAAGUAAAUGAUAAUUAUUACCUGAAUGUGCAAUGCUAAUGAAUUGUUAUUUGCAUGAAUCACCAGACUGAAGAUACAAGUUUGAAGUCGACGCCAGUUGCCUCUAAAGAAGCAACUGCUGAUGCAAAUGAAAAGCUAGAAAAAAAGAAAGGACUUAAAGUUGAUCUUCACAAGAUUGGCACUUCAAACUCAUCUUUGAAGAAAGAAAAGAACAGAAUAGUACCUUUUGUGACAACAGCGGAACUUGAGUUUAGCCAUGCUGAUACUGAUCACACUGCGGCACCAUCAGAUUUGCUUUUAGAGUUGCUGAAGCAAGGGAAAGGACACAAGUCAGAACCAAAGAAA